GACAGAGGGUGCAAACGUUGUUCGGAUUUACUGGGCGUAAAGCGCGUGUAGGCGGCUUUGCAAGUCGGGUGUGAAAGCCCUCAGCUCAACUGAGGAAGUGCGCCCGAAACUGCAGAGCUUGAGUGCCGGAGAGGGUGGCGGAAUUCCCCAAGUAGAGGUGAAAUUCGUAGAUAUGGGGAGGAACACCGGUGGCGAAGGCGGCCACCUGGACGGUAACUGACGCUGAGACGCGAAGCGUGGGAGCA
rnacentral:rRNA from 1 species